rnacentral:misc_RNA from 1 species
AGGCAAAAACACACUAACCAGAUGCCGAUAAACCGAUAAAAAUCCUCAAACCAUUCUCAAUAAUAACAGCUCAAUAAUGAGCUGCUGUUACAAACUUAAUAACGGCUAAUCUGUCGUUAUUAAACACAUCAAACUUUAAAAUUCAUCAUUUAGUGCACCCGGUAAGUAAAUUUCCGGGGAAGGACGGAUUGCCUGUGUGGAACCGCAGGUAGAUGAAGUCGUGUAUAUGUGCUGUAUACUGGACGCUAACUGGACCUGGUUAGGUAAA